UUGAAUUAUUCGAUCAUCUAAAAUUUCUAACGAAAAAGGACUUGUAACCCAAGCGAUAUAAGAUUUUGUCUGGCUUCUUAAAUUGUUCCUUUCUUAUAAGGGAAUUGUUCGUACCAGGGGGCAAAGGAUACGGUAUUAUUAAGGGGGUACAAAACGAAUUGUACACAUUUCUGAUUUAUGAAAUUGUAAGGAAUUUACUUUGAUAUCAGCCCACCCUCUCCCUUUCUAUUUUGCACAUUAAUAAACGAGAACAAACGAACGGUAAUAUUUAUCUCGUUUUGAUGGGGCGGAGAGAAAAUAAUAUCAGUGUGUCCUGCUUUAGAUUUCAUGUAAUAAAAUCUAAAUCAAGCCAUACUAUGAAAAUAUUGUUUAGUUUCUAAUAUUCUUUCAUAUUUUCUCAAUGGUUAUAUCAAUUUAUUUUCUAAAGCCCUUACACAAAUUGCGAACAAAAUACGACAUGAAACUCAUAGCGGACGUAUAUUACAAACAUCAUAUAUAACAAUACACGACGUAUUUUAGGAAUUGCAAUUUUAGGAACAUACAGAAUACUUAAAGAGAAAAGGUACUAAUAUUGUUGUCAGACACUUGUAUGUUCGAGAAUGUGAUAACAGAACCUGUUCGGAAGACUAAAGAUGAUAAGAUAGUGCGAACCCCCUCGCUUAGUAGGAUUAUGUAGAUCACAACAGGCUUAAUCGCUCAGGAGUAGGUUCAGUCCGCUUUGAAAUCAGGCAGAUGGACUAUGAUGAAUGUCCUGUCGGCGCGGCGGUGUCUUCCAAUAUCAACAAGCAUUAUGUUGAUCUCAACAGAGUUAACACCUCUCAGAUAAAAACCAAGGAACAUGAUCUAAGCCAGAGAAAAAAAUUUUUGAAAGAGGUAGGAAAAAACUCGCCUCCUGGGUUUUCCAACUAUCAAUUGCGGAAAGAGUAACAUGAAAAUUUAAUACUAGCAUACAGAGGAAAAGGAUAAUUAAGUUUUUUGAUAGACGCCUCCUUUUUAGUUUCCAUAUUAAAUCAAACAAUUCCUUCCUC